UACGGGGGGGGCAAGCGUUGUUCGGAAUUACUGGGCGUAAAGGGCUCGUAGGCGGCCAACUAAGUCAGACGUGAAAUCCCUCGGCUUAACCUGGGAACUGCAUUUGUGACUGCACAGCUGGAGUGCGGCAGAGGGGGAUGGAAUUCCGCGUGUAGCAGUGAAAUGCGUAGAUAUGCGGAGGAACACCGAUGGCGAAGGCAAUCCCCUGGGCCUGCACUGACGCUCAUGCACGAAAGCGUGGGGAGCAAACAGG
rnacentral:rRNA from 1 species